rnacentral:rRNA from 1 species
CGACGAUGCGUAGGGGUUCUGAGAGGAAGGUCCCCCACACUGGUACUGAGACACGGACCAGACUCCUACGGGAGGCAGCAGUGAGGAAUAUUGGUCAAUGGGCGGGAGCCUGAACCAGCCAAGUCGCGUGAGGGAUGACGGCCCUAUGGGUUGUAAACCUCUUUUGCCGGGGAGCAAAGUGCCGCACGUGUGCGGUUUGGAGAGUACCCGGAGAAAAAGCAUCGGCUAACUCCGUGCCAGCAGCCGCGGUAAUACGGAGGAUGCGAGCGUUAUCCGGAUUUAUUGGGUUUAAAGGGUGCGUAGGCGGACGCUUAAGUCAGCGGUAAAAUUGCGGGGCUCAACCUCGUCGAGCCGUUGAAACUGGGUGCCUUGAGUGGGCGAGAAGUACGCGGAAUGCGUGGUGUAGCGGUGAAAUGCAUAGAUAUCACGCAGAACUCCGAUUGCGAAGGCAGCGUACCGGCGCCCAACUGACGCUGAAGCACGAAGGCGUGGGUAUCGAACAGGAUUAGAUACCCUGGUAGUCCACGCAGUAAACGAUGAAUGCUAGUUGUCCGGGGCGAUUGAGUUCUGG